UCCUACGGGAGGCAGCAGUGGGGAAUCUUAGACAAUGGGCGCAAGCCUGAUCUAGCCAUGCCGCGUGUGUGAUGAAGGCCUUAGGGUCGUAAAGCACUUUCGCCAGGGAUGAUAAUGACAGUACCUGGUAAAGAAACCCCGGCUAACUCCGUGCCAGCAGCCGCGGUAAUACGGAGGGGGUUAGCGUUGUUCGGAAUUACUGGGCGUAAAGCGUACGUAGGCGGAUCAGAAAGUAAGGGGUGAAAUCCCAGGGCUCAACCCUGGAACUGCCUCUUAAACUCCUGGUCUUGAGUUCGAGAGAGGUGAGUGGAAUUCCGAGUGUAGAGGUGAAAUUCGUAGAUAUUCGGAGGAACACCAGUGGCGAAGGCGGCUCACUGGCUCGAUACUGACGCUGAGGUACGAAAGUGUGGGGAGCAAACAGGAUUAGAUACCCUGGUAGUCCACACCGUAAACGAUGAAUGCCAGUCGUCGGGCAGUAUACUGUUCGGUGACACACCUAACGGAUUAAGCAUUCCGCCUGGGGAGUACGGUCGCAAGAUUAAAACUCAAAGGAAUUGACGGA
rnacentral:rRNA from 1 species